rnacentral:rRNA from 1 species
GAUGAACGCUAGCGAUAGGCCUAACACAUGCAAGUCGAGGGGCAUCACAUGAAGUAGCAAUACGGAUGGUGGCGACCGGCGCACGGGUGAGUAACACGUAUGCAACCUGCCUUCAACAAGGGGAUAACCCGUUGAAAGACGGACUAAUACCCUAUAACACAGGGGUCCCGCAUGGGAAUAUUUGUUAAAGGACAACCGGUUGAAGAUGGGCAUGCGUUCCAUUAGCUAGUUGGCGGGUAAGGGCCCACCAAGGCAACGAUGGAUAGGGGAACUGAGAGGUUUAUCCCCCACACUGGUACUGAGACACGGACCAGACUCCUACGGGAGGCAGCAGUGAGGAAUAUUGGUCAAUGGACGCAAGUCUGAACCAGCCACGUCGCGUGAAGGAAGACGGCCCUACGGGUUGUAAACUUCUUUUAUACGGGAAUAAAGUGCCCCACGCGUGGGGUUUUGCAUGUACCGUAUGAAUAAGGAUCGGCUAACUCCGUG